rnacentral:rRNA from 1 species
AUGCCGCGAUUAUCGGAUUACUGGGCGUAAGCGUGCGCAGGCGGUUUUAUAAGACAGAGGUGAAAUCCCCGGGCUCAACCUGGGAACUUCCUUUGUGACUGUAAGGCUAAAGUGUGUCAGAGGGGGGUA